GACAGCUUGCUUACAUCUACAAGCAACAUUUUACUGUUGUCUGAAAGACACCUUGCUUGAUGCAGUCUCUAUAAGUACUUCACAUGUAUCAACACUCCACAAACACUGUGCUGAAAGACAGCAUGCUUGCUUCAGUCUCUAUAAAUACUUCACAUGUAUCAACACUCUACAAACACUCAACUACACUCAACUGAGACGAAUUAAACUUUCAAAUUAAUAUAUCGACUCUUUGCAUCUGGAUCUUGCGUUGUUUCUCGGCUCUCACAUCAAGGUUUUAAAUUUUUUGUCGGCUUUUCACAUCUCCCUCUUGCAUUGUUGAGAGGAGAAGAUACAAGAAAGUCAUAAGCGAACGGAUGUAUUGGUAAAACAGGAAGAGACACAAGAGACUCCCCGCAUUUUGUUUUUAUUGUUUUGUCCUGA